rnacentral:rRNA from 1 species
CGANCCNGAGCUUGCUCUGGGGCAGAGCCGCGAACGGGUGAGUAACACGUGGGUAACGUACCCCGAUUACCGGGACAACCCGAGGAAACUCGGGCUAAUACCNGNAUGUGCUCCCUCCCCAUGAGGGGAGUGAGUAAAGGAAGCUUCGGCNUCCGANUCGGGAGCGGCCCGCGGCCCAUUAGUUUGUUGGUGGGGUAACGGCCUACCAAGACUGCGAUGGGUAGCUGGUCUGAGAGGACGAUCAGCCACACUGGGACUGAGACACGGCCCAGACUCCUACGGGAGGCAGCAGUGGGGAAUCUUGCGCAAUGCGCGAAAGCGUGACGCAGCAACACCGCGUGGGGGAAGAAGGCCUUCGGGUUGUAAACCCCUUUCAGGAGGGACGAAGGCCGGCCGGUGAAUAGCCGUGCCGGUUGACGGUACCUCCACAAGAAGCCCCGGCUAACUACGUGCCAGCAGCCGCGGUAAUACGUAGGGGGCAAGCGUUGUCCGGAAUCAUUGGGCGUAAAGCGCGCGUAGGCGGCCCGAUAAGUCCGCUGUAAAAGUCAACGGCUCAACCGUUGAAAGCCGGUGGAUACUGUCGGGCUAGAGUCCGGAAGAGGCAAGUGGAAUUCCUGGUGUAGCGGUGGAAUGCGCAGAUAUCAGGAGGAACACCUAUAGCGAAGGCAGCUUGCUGGGACGGUACUGACGCUAAGGCGCGAAAGCGUGGGGAGCGAACAGGAUUAGAUACCCUGGUAGUCCACGCCGUAAACGAUGAGAACUAGGUGUGGGAGGUGUCGACUCCUCCCGUGCCGUCGCUAACGCAUUAAGUUCUCCGCCUGGGGAGUACGGCCGCAAGGCUAAAACUCAAAGGAAUUGACGG